GAUGAACGCUAGCGGCAGGCCUAAUACAUGCAAGUCGAGGGGUAGAGCGGUGCUUGCACUGCUUGAGACCGGCGCACGGGUGCGUAACGCGUAUGCAACCUACCCUUUUCUGGGGGAUAGCCCGGAGAAAUCCGGAUUAAUACCGCAUAAGACCACGGUACGGCAUCGUAAUGGGUCAAACAUUUAUGGGAGAAGGAUGGGCAUGCGUGCCAUUAGCUAGUUGGCGGGGUAACGGCCCACCAAGGCGACGAUGGCUAGGGGAUCUGAGAGGAUGGCCCCCCACACUAGUACUGAGACACGGACCAGACUCCUACGGGAGGCAGCAGUAAGGAAUAUUGGUCAAUGGAGGCAACUCUGAACCAGCCAUGCCGCGUGCAGGAAGACGGCCCUCCGGGUUGUAAACUGCUUUUAUUCGGGAAUAAACCUAGAUACGUGUAUCUAGCUGAAUGUACCGAAGGAAUAAGGAUCGGCUAACUCCGUGCCAGCCGCCGCAGUAA
rnacentral:rRNA from 1 species